rnacentral:rRNA from 1 species
GACGAACGCUGGCGGCGUGCCUAAUACAUGCAAGUCGAGCGGACUUUCAAGAAGCUUGCUUUUUGAAAGUUAGCGGCGGACGGGUGAGUAACACGUGGGCAACCUGCCUGCAAGACGGGGAUAACUCCGGGAAACCGGGGCUAAUACCGGAUAAUAUCUUCCUUCGCAUGAAGGAUGGUUGAAAGGCGGCGCAAGCUGCCGCUUGCAGAUGGGCCCGCGGCGCAUUCGCUAGUUGGUGAUGUAACGGCUCACCAACGCGACGAUGCGUAGCCGACCUGAGGGGGUGAUCGGCCACACUGGGACUGAGACACGGCCCAGACUCCUACGGGAGGCAGCAGGAGGGAAUCUUCCGCAAAGGACGAAAGUCUGACGGGGCAACGCCGCGUGAGCGAAGAAGGGCUUCGGAUCGGAAAGCUCUGUUGUCAGGGAAGAACAAGUACCGUUCGAACAGGGCGGUACCUUGACGGUACCUGACCAGAAAGCCACGGCUAACUACGUG